UGCCCAGCAACUCCUAUCCCUACCUCCUCGUGGUACUGAACGGGAAGAUCGGGUAACCAACCCCGGUGGAAACUUUGGUUGUAGGCUAACAGGGAAGG
rnacentral:ribozyme from 1 species